GGCUAAGUAUCUGAUUACAGUCAUACAGAGUAUCCAGGAAUUGUAGCUGUCCACAUCCUGUGUUUAGUUUCUAAAAAUAUUUACCUCUUUUCUUCAGAAAUCCUACUGGUGAUGUCAUCUGAUGUAUUCAACACCCAAUUUAAGUAUUCACCUUUUCCUUCUUUCCACAGAAAAACACCCAGUACCUGCUGACAGGUAUCUUCACUCCCA